CUGCUGUGGGAGGCCGACCGGAGCGAGGAGCAGGGGCGCGGGCUUACCUGGCCUUCUGGACAGCGGGGUCCAGUUUGGGGCGGGGUGUUAGUGACCACUGUAUAGGGAGGGAGCGCUGGGGGCGUCGCGGACAGCGAGAGGGGAGAAUACUGAGCUGAGCGCUGCCUGAGCUAGGAUGCCCGCCCGGGGUGGCGCGACCCCCCCACCCCCAACCUUGUCUUGGGCUGACGAGGGGGGCUGCGCUCCGCCAGAGCAACUAGCAGUGCCUGGCACGCAGCGAGCCCUCAGAGUAUCCCGGCCUUGACUGCAACCCCAGCACGGGGAGGAAACAUGGAGGGGAGCGAUCCCUGGGCUGACAGAGGUUAACUGCCAUUAAGCACCCAGGCUGGCCGGGCGCGGUCACCACCCCUUCCUUCUCGCGGUGGCAGCUGAGGCACACAAGGCACAGCAUGUGUCCUCGGAUUGUGAAAGAGGCAGAGCUGGGAUACGAACCUGGGCCGUUUGGCUCUUGGCCACUGCGCUAGGCUGAGGAAAACGUGGACCCGAACCAGGCUUUGAAGAUUGGGAAGGGUGUGAAGGGUGGAUGACUGAGCGAGCUCUGCCCGGUUCGCUGUAAAACCUCGAGAAGACGUUUGCUCUUCAUAGGCCACCCUUUCCUCCGACGUAAAAAUGGCUGGACUUAGGAAAACUAAUAACUCAUAUGUUCACCUCCUAGCAAAUUAUUGGAAGGAACAUGAGAAAUGGUAAAUAUCAAGAAGCAGGAUUGCUGAGUUAUAAGGUACCGUUACAGGAAAAAAAGAAAGGAAACGAAGUCUGUAACAGCAGAGUCUGACCGGGGAGACAAGAGCCAAGAGACGUGGAUCCCCCAGGACAGCGGGGACGACUCUGCUCAAGACGCUCGUGCUGCUUACUUACCGGAGUGGCCG